rnacentral:lncRNA from 1 species
GGCUUUAUAUAGGGGAGGGGGCGUGGCCAAAAGGAAGUGGGCGGGGCUUAAGAGGAAAUUGGGGGCGUGGCCUCGGGGGGAACCGCGAAACCCCGCUGGGUUUUGGCCACGCCCCCUUUUCCGGUUGCGGUUAAUGGGGUGGGCGGGGCUUAAAGGGGGCGGGGCUUAAAUGAAGGAGGCGUGGCUUAGAGAGAAGGGGCGUGGCUUCGGUGUUCCCCUUUGCUCUGACCACGCCCCCUUCUUUCCGUAUAUGGCAAUAGGGGCGUGGCCUCGGUGUCCCGCCCUGUUCUGACCACGCCCCCUUCUUUCCGUAUAUGGCAAUGUGGGCGGGGCUUGAAUGGAUGGAGGCGUGGUUUAAUCGUAGCCCCGCCCCCUCGCCGACCCCACUCACCCCACACCCUUUAUUCGCCCUAUAGGACACAGGGGACGUUAUCAAGUUCUGGUGGCACCUUUAUUGGUUCCAUCUGCUCCUGCCCUGACCCCCCCCACCCCCCCAUGGUGGCCCUGGGGGUCCCCAAGGUGGACAUGGGGGUCCCAUUGGUGACUAUGGGGGUCCCAUUGGGGGUCCCAUUGGUGGUACUGUCCCCAUUGGUGACUAUGGGGGUCCCACUGGGGGUCCUGGGGGUCCCAUUAAUGGCUAUGGGGGUCCCAUUGGUGACUAUGGGGGUCCUGGGGGUCCCAUUGGUGACUAUGGGGGUCCCAUUGGUGGUCCUGUCCCCAUUGGUGGUCCUGGGGGUCCUGGGGGUCCCAUUGGUGGCUAUGGGGGUCCCCAAGGUGGCCAUGGGGGUCCCAUUGGUGACUAUGGGGGUCCCAUUGGUGGCCAUGGGGGUCCCAUUGGUGACUAUGGGGGUCCCAUUGGUGGUCCUGUCCCCAUUGGUGGCCCUGGGGGUCCCCAAGGUGGCCCUGGGGGUCCCACUGGUGACUAUGGGGGUCCCAUUGGUGACUAUGGGGGUCCCUUUGGUGGUCCUGUCCCCAUUGGUGACUAUGGGGGUCCCAUUGGUGGUCCCAUUCCCAAGGUGGCCAUGGGGAUCCUAUUGGUUGUCCUGGGGGUCCCCAUUUAGUGGCUCUGGGGGUCCCAUAGGUGGUCCCAUCCCAUUAGUGGCCCUGGGGGGUUUCAUUGGUGGCACAGGGGGUCCUCAAGGUGGUCCUGUCCCCAUUGGGGUCCCAUUUAGUGGCAUUGGGGACCCUUUGGCGUCCCUAUGGUGUCCCUAUAGUGGCCAUAGGGUCCCAUUAGUGACCCUGGGGUCCCUAUGGUGUCCCUAUGGUGUCCCUAUGGCGUCCCUAUAGUGGCCAUAGGGUC